UAUGUCAUGGCCGCCAGAGGACAACACACGUUUCCCGUUAAAACCGUGACAUACCUACCUAUAAUACGACCGGUCUCCCGUACUCGGUUCAACGCAAAGCAGCACGCACGUAAACCGCUACGGCGUAGGUAAUGUAUCGAUGAGUAUCAAGGACAUUACAGGCGGCUGUGACCUAUUUACCUGUGUUGCAUCAUAAAACAAGUUUUCCAUUAGACGCUAUUUGUGUUGUCUCCGCAGUCCACAUAUAGAAUCUUUCUUAUGUUGGUCGUCUACAUUGGAUUCUAUAUGUGAGCUUGUCUCUAUACAAAUUGAAGAAUUGCGUUCGAUAUCAGGAAGAAAUUAAUGAACAUUUGACAGACAAUAGAAACACCAACGUUCAACGGCAUCGGAUAUUUAUCAACAAAUCUAUUAUCUUGAUAAUGAAUACCUACACUUUAUAAAUACUGUUUAAUGUAUUUUAUAUUUUUAAAUGUACCGCCUAAUCAUUGAUACACUAAAAUUAUGUUACUUAAAAAUUUAAAAUAUUAUAUCAUUCAAUUUUAUAAAAAAAUUAAUCUAUAUUAACAAAAAGCAAUGCAUAUGUAUGAUUGUGUAAAAGCAAUUCAAAGCCAAGUCUAUUGCACUAAUGGUUCUGAAAUUUGGUUCACAUAGGUAAUCCUAUAUAACCGAUGACGAUGAGAAUAUCUGAAUAUAUGCACCACGAAGCCAAACUUAUAAAUGUUAAAGAUGGAUUUAAUCAUACACUCAUAUACAGGGAAGGAUUUAUUCGUUCACGAAAAACGAAUGUUUUGUAUAUUGUUUGCAUACUUAAUAAGUUAUUAUUAGAUUUAGAAUAUAAAUUGUAAUUAUGAUUGGAUAUAAUUUUUAAUUUUUAUUUUAUAUUGGGUCAAAAGAAUCUAAAUAAUUGUACACAAAAUCUGUGCCGUUUAUAGGUAAAUUAAUAAUAAUAAAUUUAAUUUUACGUAUUACUUGGGAGGGGGAAUAUAUUUUAAAACCAUUCUUAAAAUAGAAAAUUAAAUACUUAAAAAAGUAACGUCACACCUACAAUAAUAAUUUAGUUAUUUUAUACUUGUAAAAUAUAACAUAGGUAAUAAUAUUUAAAAUAAGAAAUUUUUAUUUAUUUAAAUAUAGACAUGUUUAUAAUACAAUGUACACAUGUUAUACGGCCCAUGAAGGGGAUGCAAAUCCCCGCUGCAGGUAUGCCACAGGAGUUAGACGAGUAGCUAUAGCAAGAGGGAGACUGAAAAGGAGCAGUGUUUCUGUGUUUCUAGUUGAAUGCGUAGGAAAACGGAAAACUUAAAAGCUAACUUCGGUAAGUAGACAAAAGGAAUCAAUAUAGCAAUUUUGUUCAAAUGUUUUAAAAGGUAUAAUUGGCGGUUAGCUGCAAAGCAGCAAACCAUGAGACUAGAUAAUAAAUUUAGCACUUGACUUACCACUGUGUAGUCAUAGGAUGAUCGUAUUACAGAAAACACCACGAAAAAACAUUCGCUGGACAUGCUCGUGCGAUAAGACGAUUAUAAGAGUAUACUGAAUACUGAUUUUAAUUUACAGAACCAUAUUCUAGUAAGUAGAUAGUAGGUACCUAUGAUGUGGGGCGAGCAGUAGAGAGGGUUUAAGAGAGGUAAUAAAUUUAAAUUGACAUGUGAUUCAUAAUAGUUAAGUACAGCAUUUUUAGUGCCUUGCAGGAAAUCUCUUCAAUGAUGCGUUGACCAGAGCUAAAAUUAUUGUAGGUACUUCAAGCGAAUCCCAAGAUCCCGAACAGAAAGAUAAGUGUAGGGAACAAUAUCUAUAAAAAUUCUAUAAACGAAAUAAGAGUAAUUAAAUUUUAAGAUGUGUGUAUAGAACAUGACCUUCCAUUGACCAAUAUUUUAAGCUGUAAGUUAAGUGUUUCAUAACUAUUAUUGACUUAUUGUUUACAAAUUUAAGUUAGUUCACAGUCAGAAAGAAAAAAACAAUUUGAUAUCAUCAACAAAUAUAGGUAAGUGACUUAGAUAGUAAACUAGUAACUAGUAAUGCUGCAACACAGACGAAACACUGUUGACGAGUAAAAAGAAUAGAUUAGGUGAAAUGUUAUGUAAUUAUAAUAAUUUAAAGCAAAUUAGUUUGUUUAAAAACUAUAUAAUCAAAUAUAUAAAUUAUAAGUACUUACUACUUUGACUCAGUUACAGUAGUACUAAAAAUUAGUUAAAAAUGAAAUUAAUAAUAUUGUAGUAGCUAGUAGGUUGUAGCCUUGUAGGUAUGUAAUAUGUAAAAGGUACUUUAUAACUAGGGCUAGGAUUUCUAUGCAGUAAAAAAAUUGUAAAAUAUGCAUUUUAUUUACCAAAAUAUGCAAAAAUAUGCAAAAACAAUUUUUUUUAAAUAUUAAUUAAUAUUAUUACAUGCUAUUAUUAAAACAUGUUUUUUAAAUUUUCAAAUGUGAACGUCCGGUGAUUAAAUCGAAGAUUUAUUAUAUUGGUUGAAACUCCUUUCCACAUCACACAAUGUUGUCGGAGCAAAUUUAAAUUACGUGAUUUUUCCCGGAUUUAAAGUAAUAUCAACAUCUAUUUCUUCUGUUUUUUAAUCACCGUUUAUAAUGUUAAACAUUUUUUGAAAUGUUAUGAAUCCCUUAUUCUUCUUUAGUAUUAAGUUAAUUUUAGUUUAAAUAGGUAGUUUAUUAUAUUUAUGAUAAUUCGACAAAUUAAUCUAUAAUUAUAGACGUUUAUUAAAUAAAUACAAUUUAAAAUUAACAAGAUUCUCAACAAUUUAUUUAUAUGCAAUUAUAUGCGUUAUAUUCAAAAUAUGCAAAAAUAUGCAAAAAAAAAAAUUGUACUAUUCAAGAAUAAGCCAUAUCGUGGACAUAUCUGCAGACAACUAAUAAAUUUGGAUUUAAGGAAAAAACAUGCAAAUGCAUAGAAAUCUUAGCCCUAUUUAUAACAUGUA